GUCUGCUGGCUCUCAAUCUGCACAUGGUGCAUUGGUGCUCUGCAUAUCCAUAAAGACCAUAAAUCCAUAUCAUCAAAAUUCAAAAGGAAGAAAUUCACGUGUCACGUCGGGCGUUGACUCGAAAGAAUCGAAGUGAUAGAUUCUCUAACUUUUUGCUUGAAACUGCAACAUAUUUGCAUUAAGACAAACUGGUAGAAAAUAAUUUGAGCGAUUAAAGUGACGGAAGUCACUUAAUUAACUUGAUUGGUUUCUAAAUGUAAUUUUCAGAAACAAGCUUCAUGGCAAAAAGACACACUGAUUUGGCCUUGGUCAAAUCAUCUGAUCACAUGGCUUGUUGGCUUGACUGCCGUCCAUUUUACCACAUUUCUAUGUGUACCAGAUGUAUGUCUCAUCUGAUGCUGAAAUAGGCCUACUUUACAGAAGAAGUUUCACAGCCAGUUGAAGUCUGAGUUUCAGCAGUGCUAUCUAACAUGCUCAUGGAUUUGUUGCAUCUUCAUUGAAGUCCAAUGUGGACAUGGCUUUGUUGCAGCCAGCUGGUGAAAGGUGUUCUUGCUGGCUUGCUACCCGUACCAGCUAUAGCUUUUGCCACAUACAGAAACACUAAAGAACGAUAGCUAAGCUGAAAAAAUUUUUACAGUAAGGUUACACAUUUACUUUGUUGAUGACUAGUUCUUUGCUUUGUGUAUGUUGACUUUUAGUUAAGACUUAAGACUGUUUCAAAAGCUUGCCAACUGUCAAUUACUUUGUUACAUUUCUAAAAGAAAUUCUGAGGGAUUGCUUAGUUUAACUUUACUUCUGCCAUUUUGUUAUUGUUACAAGACUUAAUUGCUUGAUAGUAAUUUAUUUAUUUUUUAGUUAGGAUUAACAGUCAUUUGAAUUCUUGGCUUAACCUAUUUCUUCACUGCAUUCUAAUGUGGAUUUGUUAAGCCAGCUAGUUAAUUUACGUCAUACAAUCAUGCAAUAUUCUUAAAGGCACCUUUUUAAAAAUCUAACUUCAGCAAUCUAUUUGUAUCCAAUUGUUUAGGCUGCAUGGAAUUCUCAUUUCCCUUUGAUGUGAACUUCAAUCACAUACACUAAUUAAAGGUUUACGUUCCCAGAGUUGCUGCCUAAUGUGGCGUGUUGUUCCCGCCUAUGCCGAUGAAAGAUAUUUUUUCUUCAAGUUGAAAUGUGGCUGUUCGUUGGUGCUGGCGUCGUGUAGCGGAAGUUGCAUCCUGUAUUUUGUUCAAUUGUACAAGUGUCUUUAUCGUUUUUAUGUUGAGAAGUAACAGAAAUAUGGGGAGUUUUUACGUUAAAUAAAUAAUAAAUAUUUUCGGGAUUAGGAAAACACCAAGGAGGAAGAUGGUGGGGGUUGAUGACUUAAAUUGAAAUGCUAAUUAGUAGUGACGUGAAAUUUAGUGUUGACACUCUUAUUAACCCAUAACCCAACAUAAAUUCAGAUAUCUAUAGAUCUAGAUUAUCUCUAUAACCCAUCCCUCUCACUCCUCUAAUACUCAUACCUCUAAUAUCCAAACUCCUAAUACACAUACUUUUUAAUCUCAUACCUAAUUAAUGUACAUAUGUAACAUAAAUUUAUAUAAUAAACAAAAAUUCAUGAAAAUAA